CAAGUGGCAGUUUUUUUUCUUUCUUUAUUUUUUUGUGUGUUGCAUGCAGCGGCUCGCCAUUGUCAUGAGUGGCAGGGAAACGGCUCGAAAUGAAUUCGCCACUAAGCUCGAAGCCUGCGCCAACAUAAACAGAAAGCUAAGCUUCAAGCAGCAAAUGCUGCUGUUGGAGUUACGCCCACAACUUGUGACCAAUUUUAUGGUUUACAACUGAAACUGAGCCUGAGCCAGAGCCUGAGGCUAAAGUCGAAACUGACGAUGAAACUGGGGAUGAAGCUGAGGCAUUUUUUCCAAUUUUAGUCUAUCGAAUCAAGAAUGGAAAAAAUGUAAAUGGAACAAUUUUUUUCAAAUUGUUAUAGCAGGAUUCCACUAUGCCCAACAUUUCGAACAUUCACAUUCUUUACAUUUCGCGAUUCCAUUAUGAGUCUGCGUUGGGUGCCAAAAUUACCGCUUGAUAUAGAUGAAACAGCUAAUCGCAUAUUUGAGACAUGCUGGAAAGACUGAUAAAUAAAUGUAUCAAAGAAAACUUAAAAAAAUGCAUAAUUAG